GGUUGGUUAUGGGGUCAGUUACGGGGUCAGAAGCAUUAUGGGGUCGCUUAUAGGGUCGGUUAUAGGGUCAGAGAGUUAUGGGGUCGGUUAUGGGAUCAGAGAGAUUAUGAGGUCAGUUAUAGGGUCAGUUAUGGCGUCGGUUACAGGGUCAGAGAGUUAUGGGGUCAGGUACGGGGUUAUGGGGUCAGUUAUGGGGUCAGUUAUAGGGUUAUGGGGUUGGUUAUGCGGGUCAGAAGGGUUAUGGGGUCGGUUAUGGGGUUAUGGGAUCAGUUAUAGGGUCAGUUAUGGGGUCAGGCAAUAUGGGGUCGCUUAUAGGGUCAGUUAUGGGGUCAGUUAUAGAGUCAGAAGCUUAUAGGGUCGGUUAUAGGGUUAUGGGGUUGGUUAUGGGGCUCAGUUAUGAGGUCAGAAG
rnacentral:lncRNA from 1 species